AUUGAACGCUGGCGGCAGGCUUAACACAUGCAAGUCGAGCGAGCGGCGGACGGGUGAGUAAUGUCUGGGAAACUGCCUGAUGGAGGGGGAUAACUACUGGAAACGGUAGCUAAUACCGCAUACCCUCAGUUGUGCUCAGAUUGGAUUAGCUAGUAGGUUGGGUAAUGGCUCACCUAGGCGAAGAUCCCUAGCUGGUCUGAGAGGAUGACCAGCAAGACUGGAACUGAGACACGGUCCAGACUCCUACGGGAGGCAGCAGUGGGGAAUAUUGCACAAGGGGCGCAAGCCUGAUGGAGCCAGGCCGCGUGUGUGAAGAAGGCCUUCGGGUUGUAAAGCACUUUCAGCGAGGAGGCGUUACUCGCAGAAGAAGCACCGGCUAACUCCGUGCCAGCCGCCGCGGUAAUUC
rnacentral:rRNA from 1 species